rnacentral:lncRNA from 1 species
UUGAAGGGGAUUUGCAUGACUAGAUCUUUGAUAUUAUAUGAUAACAUGCUUCCGUUGCUCAUGUAUAUGAAUUUUGAAUUGUAUAUGCAUGCUAGUCAUUAAGAAAUCCCACAUGAAUCUCAUAGAUUUCCCUUCAAUUGGUAUCAGAGCCAAAGGUUUAUGUAUAAUGUGUCCUUUUGGAUUUCAUGCAUAUGGGUAUUAAUUUUAUGUAUGACAUAUAAUUGUUUCAUUCAAAGUAUGUUUAUCUUUUGUUUUUCAAAAGUUGAAAAAUGUUAAUCAAAAGUUGAGAAAGAUAUGUAUGCAAAAGUUGUUUUGUAUGCAUGAAUGAAAAUGAGUUUAGACAUAUGAUUUCUUCAUUUAAAAGUAUGUUUAUCUUUUGUUUUUCAAUGGUUGAAAAAUGUAAAUCAAGAGUUGAAAAAGAUAUGCAUGUAAAAGUUGUUUUGUAUGCAUGAAAUGAAGAAUAAGUCAUGAACAAAUUUAGGGGUUUUGUUCUUUGUGGUUGGCAUGGUUUUGGGGAAAUUUUUGAGCAUGUGUUUGUGUUUUAUUGUAAGACACUCACACAUCAUUUCAAAGCUAGAAAGUAGAAACCUUGUCACUUUUGUUUUUGGGUUUGAAAAAUCAUCAAGAAUACACAAAUCUUGAAAAUAUGUUCAUGGUUUUGUUCUUGAUGUUCAUGGUUUGGUUUUGGGUGAAAGUGUUUUUAUUUGGUUUUCAUGCAAAGUUUUAUGGUUUUGGAUGAUGUUCUUACCAUCCAUAAUCAUAUUAAAACUUAUAAAACCAUAAGCUUAUCUAAGAGAUUUCCAUCACCUUUUGAAAUAAAAUCAUUUAAACCAAAACCAAGUGACAAACAAAAUUAUGAUUUU